UAGUUACUUUAUUUGGAAAGCCGGAAGACUGAGAGGAUGGCCGACUGAGGUCUUGGAGAACCAUCCUGCUCUAGUCAGAAUACAGGCUCCUUUUAUACAAAAAAUA